CGCAGCCGCGGUAAUUCCAGCUCCAAUAGCGUAUAUUAAAGUUGUUGCAGUUAAAAAGCUCGUAGUUGAAUUUCGGGGUUCCACCGUUGGUCGGGCUAUUGUCUGUACUGGCGUGUGGAAUUUCUACCUUCUGGGGAACUAUCAUGUUAUUAAUUUAGCGUGGUAGGAAACCAGGACCUUUACCUUGAAAAAAUUAGAGUGUUCAAAGCAGGCUUAUGUCUGAAUACAUUAGCAUGGAAUAAUAAAAUAGGACGGUGGUCCUGUUUUGUUGGUUUCUGAAUCACCGUA
rnacentral:rRNA from 1 species